AACCCCGGAGAGGGGAGUGAAAUAGAUCCUGAAACCGUAUGCGUACAAGCAGUGGGAGCAGACUCGUUCUGUGACCGCGUACCUUUUGUAUAAUGGGUCAGCGACUUAUUUUCAGUGGCGAGCUUAACCGUAUAGGGGAGGCGUAGGGAAACCGAGUCUUAACUGGGCGACCAGUCGCUGGGAAUAGACCCGAAACCGGGCGAUCUAUCCAUGAGCAGGUUGAAGGUUGAGUAACAUCAACUGGAGGACCGAACCCACGUAUGUUGAAAAAUGCGGGGAUGACUUGUGGAUCGGAGUGAAAGGCUAAUCAAGCCCGGAGAUAGCUGGUUCUCCUCGAAAGCUAUUUAGGUAGCGCCUCACGUAGCACCGCCGGGGGUAGAGCACUGUUUCGGCUAGGGGGUCAUCCCGACUUACCAACCCGAGGCAAACUCCGAAUACCGGUGAGUGACGCGUGGGAGACACACAGUGGGUGCUAACGUCCAUUGUGAAAAGGGAAACAACCCAGACCGUCAGCUAAGGUCCCCAAAUCCUGGUUAAGUGGGAAACGAUGUGGGAAGGCUCAGACAGCUAGGAGGUUGGCUUAGAAGCAGCCAUCCUUUAAAGAAAGCGUAAUAGCUCACUAGUCGAGUCGGCCUGCGCGGAAGAUAUAACGGGGCUAAACCAGGUACCGAAGCUACGGGUUCAUCGAAUGAUGAGCGGUAGAGGAGCGUCGUGUAAGCCAAUGAAGGGAGAUCGAGAGGUCUGCUGGAGGUAUCACGAGUGCGAAUGCUGACAUGAGUAACGACAAGGGAGGUGAAAAACCUCCCCGCCGGAAGACCAAGGGUUUCUGUUCGACGCUAAUCGGAGCAGAGUGAGUCGGCCCCUAAGGCGAGGCCGAAAGGCGUAGUCGAUGGGAAACGGGUUAAUAUUCCCGUACCUCACUGUAUUGCGAUGGGGAGACGGAGAAGGCUAGGUGAGCCAGGCGUUGGUUGUCCUGGUGAAAGUCGGUAGGCUGGAGAAUCAGGCAAAUCCGGUUCUCCAAGGCCGAGAGACGAGACGAACGGGNNNNNNNNNNAUUGCGAUGGGGAGACGGAGAAGGCUAGGUGAGCCAGGCGUUGGUUGUCCUGGUGAAAGUCGGUAGGCUGGAGAAUCAGGCAAAUCCGGUUCUCCAAGGCCGAGAGACGAGACGAACGGACCACGGUCCGANNNNNNNNNNAUUGCGAUGGGGAGACGGAGAAGGCUAGGUGAGCCAGGCGUUGGUUGUCCUGGUGAAAGUCGGUAGGCUGGAGAAUCAGGCAAAUCCGGUUCUCCAAGGCCGAGAGACGAGACGAACGGACCACGGUCCGGAAGUCAUUGAUGCCACGCUUCCAGGAAAAACCUCUAAGCUUCAGAUACAGUGGGACCGUACCCCAAACCGACACAGGUGGUCAGGGUGAGAAUCCUAAGGCGCUUGAGAGAACUCGGGUGAAGGAACUAGGCAAAAUGGUGCCGUAACUUCGGGAGAAGGCACGCCGCCGGUACGUGAAACCCCUCGCGGGUGGAGCCGAAAGCGGUCGAAGAUACCAGGUGGCUGCAACUGUUUAUUAAAAACACAGUACUCUGCAAACGCGUAAGCGGACGUAUAGGGUAUGACGCCUGCCCGGUGCCGGAAGGUUAAGUGAUGGUGUUAGCGCAAGCGA
rnacentral:rRNA from 1 species